UACGGGGGGAGCAAGCGUUGUUCGGAUUUACUGGGCGUAAAGGGCGCGUAGGCGGUCAGCACGAGUCAGUUGUGAAAUCUCCGGGCUUAACUCGGAAAGGUCAACUGAUACUGUGCGACUAGAGUGCGGAAGGGGCAACUGGAAUUCUCGGUGUAGCGGUGAAAUGCGUAGAUAUCGGGAGGAACACCUGUGGCGAAAGCGGCUCUCUGGACCACAACUGACGCUGAGGCGCGAAAGCUAGGGGAGCAAACAGG
rnacentral:rRNA from 1 species